AAUGAACGCUGGCGGCGUGCCUAACACAUGCAAGUCGUACGAGAAAUCCCGAGCUUGCUUGGGAGAGUAAAGUGGCGCACGGGUGAGUAACGCGUGGGUAACCCACCUUCGAAUCUGGGAUAACUCCGCGAAAGCGGUGCUAAUACCGGAUAAGACCACAGCCGUUUCGGCGGCAGAGGUAAAAGCUGACCUCUCCAUGGAAGUUAGCGUUCGAGGACGGGCCCGCGUCCUAUCAGCUUGUUGGUGGGGUAAAGGCCUACCAAGGCAGCGACGGGUAGCUGGUCUGAGAGGAUGAUCAGCCACACUGGAACUGGAACACGGUCCAG
rnacentral:rRNA from 1 species